rnacentral:lncRNA from 1 species
GACAAAACAUAAAUCAUAAGUUUUUAGAAUGUAUAAAACAGUUUAGCAACGAAGGAUACUUUGGAAUUAUUAAAUACUUUGUAUAAAUAUAGUGCAUGCAAAGUAUGACAAGAGUUUUCACAUAGUAGUACUAAAUCACAAGUGAUUCAUUUGAUAAAAACGAGUAAAGUGAAAUUUUAUGAAAUACACGAUAAUAAUCGUAUGUUUACUUGUAUUCCUCCCCUAAAAGAGUAUAAAAGCAUUUAAAAUUUAUUUAAACUGUGUUUGAAGGGGGUAUGAACUCACUUGAAAGUUUGAAGAUAGCGAGAUGGAAAACUGGGCAGAGUUUCGUGUCGGGAAACAGAUUUUUCUCGGGAUUCUCAGAAAUCUCGGGAGUAAAAUCGAUCUUCGGGACUUGAGCAAAAUGAUCAGGGCUUCGGGGUAGUGUGGGCAUGGAAAUCGAGGCAAUAUCGUGAGAGAAAUGAGAGAAAUGGGGUGAAAUUUCCGGAACCCUCGCAUCUCUAUUUAUAGUGGUCUGGGAAGCCUCGGUACGCGGGGCGUACUCGUGCGUCACCCGUGACCGAGUCCUCGACUGCUUCGCUUCGGAUGGGACUGAUCGCGUAGACUCGCAUAGGGGCGACGUGGACGGACCGAGACCAAGGCCUUCGCGUACGCGGGGCGUACGAGGCUACGCAGCGCGUAACUCGGAUGAGGACGCUGACUCCUCCUUCGGAUAUUACCAGAUUUUUGAAUUAAAUUUAUAUAUAAUUUAUUUAAUAAACUUCAAAAAAUCAUAUCUUCUUCAUACGAACUCCGUUUUCGAUGGUCUUUAUAUCCACGCGUAGGUGAGACUAUGCUCUACAACUUUCGUUUAGACUCCGUUGGCAAAUUAUGAAAUUAUUUUUAUUAUUUAUUUAUAAAAUAUCGUGAUUAAGGAAUUUCUUUAAAAAUUCAUAACUUCUUUAUCUGACGUCGGUUUUUGCCAGACUUUUUACCGCUGAAAUACCAUUGUCGAGACCUUCGAUUCUCGUUUAGGUCAUUCCGGCCAAAAGUCGCUCGAUCUCCGAUUCGAGUUUUUAGCUGUCUGCUGCUAAGCCGAACUUGGAAAAAUCUUAACUUCAAUAUACGAAGCCGGAUUUGGGCAUUCUUUUUACGUACGAUCCCGGUUUAAUGAUAUUAAACAUAGUAGGAAUUUAAAUAGAUACUUUUUGGGCAUUUUAUUAUCAAAGUUAAUUUUAUUAACUCCAAGGUGGUUACAAUACUUGACUUUUUAGGUCAUUACAAAGAGUUGAAAUAUCGGGUUGUUACAUCAUCCCCCCGUUAGAGGGAAUUUCGUCCCGAAAUUUUAAUACAAAAUAGAAGUCUUAGGGACUGAGGAAGAGGUGCGGAUACUUCUGUUGCAUUUGGUCUUCCCGUUCCCAUGUGAACUCGGGUCCUCUCUUAGCAUUCCAUCGAACCUUUACUAUUGGAAUGCGACUCUGUUUAGUUCGUUUAACUUCCCUAUCCAUGAUCUCGACGGGUUCUUCCACAAAGUUAAGAUUUUCGUUUAGCUCGAUUUCAUCGAGUGGAAUUACAAGUGUUUCGUCGGACAAACACUUUUUCAGGUUCGAUACGUGGAAUACUGGAUGUACUUUGUUAAGCUCGAUUGGAAGUCGGAGUUUGUAGGCCACUGGACCAACUCUUGAAAUGAUUUCGAAGGGUCCAAUGUACCUAGGAUUUAGCUUCCCACACUUUCCAAAGCAUAUCAUGCCCUUCCAGGGUGAGACCUUCAGUAGUACACGGUCGCCAAUCUGGAAUUCCAAGGGUUUACGUCUCUUGUCGGCAUAGCUCUUUUGCCUAUCCCUUGAGGACUUCAGUCGUUUUCGUAUUUGCACGAUCUUUUCAUUCGUUUCACUGAUGAUCUCCGGACCAGUGAGGGUGUUAUUAGGGACUAGACCUUUUUCCAAUUGUGUGUCGCCCACUUCCGUCCAGCACAGGGGUGAUCUGCACUUACGUCCGUAAAGGGCUUCGAAUGGAGCGGUCUUGAUACUAGUAUGGUAACUAUUGUUAUAAGAGAACUCGACCAAAGGCAAGUGAACAUCCCAUGCCUUGCCAAAGUCGAUUACACAUGCUCGCAACAUGUCUUCCAAGGUUUGGAUUGUCCUCUCACUCUGUCCGUCAGUUUGUGGGUGGUAUGCUGUACUCAUAUCCAACCUUGUUCCCAUGGAUUUUUGCAAUGAUUGCCAGAAUCUGGAAGUGAAUCUGCUGUCUCUAUCUGAGAUAAUGGACAUCGGUACUCCAUGAAGUCGUACGAUCUCCCGGAUGUAGGUUCUUGAUAGUUUUUCCAUCCUAUCAGUUUCCAUGAUCGGUAAGAAAUGAGCGGACUUGGUUAACCUGUCGACGAUCACCCAAAUAGUAUCUUGGCCACCCUGAGUUUUGGGCAGUUUUGUUAUAAAGUCCAUAGAAAUCUGCUCCCAUUUCCACUCAGGUAUUUCAGGAUGUUGGAGAAGACCUGAGGGUUUCUGGUGUUCUAUUUUUAUUUUGGCGCAAGUAAAACACUUGCUCACAUAGGUAGCAAUCUCCGCUUUCAUGUUUGGCCACCAGUAGAGUUGCUUGAGAUCUAGAUACAUCUUGUCUGACCCUGGGUGUACGGAGUAUGGAGUCCUGUGUGCCUCGCUCAUAACUACCUCUCUGAAUCCACCAAACUUGGGUGUCCAGAUCCGGUUCAUGAGGUAGCGUGCUCCGUCACUCUUGAUUUCUAAGUUCUUGUCCAUUCCCCUAAGGGCCUCACCUGUCACGUUUUCGGGUUUCAAGGCCUCUAUUUGAGCUUCCUUGACUUGCGCUGACAGGUGCGAAUGGAUCGACAUGGCUAAUGACUUCACUCUUCGGCCAGAGUACUCCUUUCGACUAAGGGCAUCGGCCACNUGGUCUGUAAAGAUAGUGCACUUGGUACCGUAUAGGUAGUGCCUCCAGAUUUUAAGAGCGAAGACCUCCGCUCCAAGUUCUAAGUCAUGAGUGGUGUAAUUGAUCUCAUGUGUUUUCAGUUGUUGUGAGGCAUAUGCAAUAACCUUUCCCCUAUGCAUUAGCGCACAGCCUAGUCCUUACUUCGAAGCGUCGCAAUACACCACAAAAUCUUCGGUCNNNNNNNNNNNNNNNNNNNNNNNNNNNNNNNNNNNNNNNNNNNNNNNNNNNNNNNNNNNNNNNNNNNNNNNNNNNNNNNNNNNNNNNNNNNNNNNNNNNNAAUGGUUUUCUAAAAGAUUUUCAUUUAAUUCAAAACUCUUACUUGAACUAUUUUAUCUAAAUUCACUUUAAACUGGUUUAUGAAGGAUUUCCAAAGGCUUUCAAACAUGUUUUUACAAAAGAAUACAAAUUGUGAUUUUCCUGAGUAUAAAGGUUUUUCAUUAAAGAUUCCCUUUUCGACGUAUACUUUACUUGUUAACUACUGCUGCUUCGCUUAUACUUAUUUUUAUACUCCUACUCUGUAACGCUUUCACUUAUACCUGAAGUCACUUAUACCUGAUGACGCUUAUACUUAUUCACACUCUUACUUAGUGAUACGAUUCUACUUCGCAUAUACUUGAGAUCGACUCUACUUCACUUAUACUCGAUACGCUCUUACUUCACUUAUUGUCGUCUCUACGUUGUGAUACGCUUAUACUUAUUCGACACUUAUACUUCACUUGCGACCACUCCUACUUCACUUGUUAGACACUCCUACUUCACGAGAAUCACUUCUACUUGACACAUACUCAAGCGUAGUUAGAUGUACGUCUGUGCUUGUAUAGAUGCAUAUAAAUAAUGAUUGAAGGACUUAGGAAGGCUUGUCCGCCCUAUUUCCUUUUCUUCGUUGAGAUGUGGUCUGGUGGGAUCGGAUGUCCAUCCGAAGGUCGUUUGAUUCAUUAGUUAUAUAUUAUGUAUACAAGCAUAGACAUAUGGGUUUACUUCAGUCAGUUCAGUUAUGAGUCUCUACCUCUAGUUCAACACUUACAUUAGAAACCCACUAUUUGGAAGUCUCUACCCACUAUUUGGGAUGCAUCUUCAGGACACGGCCUUCUCCGUCGUCUAGUUGGUAACCAGAGUCUCCUGUAGGGAGAGCGGACAUUGUGUGUAUAGAUCUAUACGAGAUUGACAACCCAGCACCCAGACUGCUAGCUACAGUCCCGGCCUACCAAGCCAACGGGUGACAAAUGUCACAUCUUAGACGCUUGUAGGGCGUUUGGUACUCUAGUCAGUAUGGUACGAGUAUCCCGGGUUACCUUAUAAUUCUUUGGCUUUAAGGUAACGGUAUAUCUCCAGCUAUUUACACUGUAUGCUGGUAACUCAUUUUCAGAGUCACACUGUUUUGACUUUACAAGACAUAUCCUUCAUUUGAUACUGUCUGGGGUCUGUCUCCUUUGUUUUGACAACACAAGACGUAUCUUUCAUUUGAUGCUGUCUGGGGUCUGUCUCCACUGUAUUCACAGAAUCCACUGUAUUCACUGUGUUCACUGCGUUCACUGUUUUAGGCCUUACUAGUUGUACCAUUCAUUUGGUACCUUCUGGGGUAUGUGUCUCCACUUGUUAGACUGAACCAGGCGUAUCGUUCAUUCGAUACUCUCCUGGAGUCUAUGAUUCCUUUGCCUUAGUCAGCAGUCUUCACUGCUGAGGCAUAUGUUAUUUCCCUGUUGUCUCUUGCUUCUUUAAUAAUCAAAUUCAGUAUUUUGAUAAUGAUAGCAAAUAAGGGAAAACUACUUUUUACCACAUAACACUGACCAGUCUUGGUAGAAGACUGCUUUAAUAAAGAAAAUAUAGGAUUUUCUGGAAAGAACUCUAAUACACAGUAAACACUUGAACUACUACUUUUAUUAAAGUUAUUUGAGUAAAAACGUCACUAAAUCCUUAUGAACUCACCAGCAUUUGUAAAAAUGCUGAUACUCGCUUUUCAAAUAACUUGUAUUCUCAGGUCAGAAAUUAGACAGGUACAUCCCAGGAGCUGUUGAUGAAGAUAGCUUAGUACCUUGCUGUACUUAUUACAUUUGUCUGUAUUACUUUGAUGUAUUGUAAUGUAACCAUGUAAAACUAUUACUAUUAAUGCAAUGUUUUGUUGUACUUUGAUUACUAUAUGCAUGUGUUGUGAUACUUGACAUGACGUCAUCCACCCCAGAACGUUUCCACCGUUCCGGUUUUGGGGUGUGACAGUGUCCAACUUAGACGCUAUAAAAAUUUAUACUUUCAUAACAAGUGAUUCAUUUUCUAGGGAUUUCUAAACAGACGCGACACACUUUUAGAAAACUAUAAUAGGUAUAGUUUUACAAUAACAUUACAAAGUUUUACAUACUAGAAACACUAUUUUCAAGAAGUCACUUUCACAUACAAGAACAAANUAAACACUCGAACAAAAGUAUCACAAGAAGAACAAUAAUAAAAGUCUUCGGAUGUUGAGCACUACAGUCAAACCUGGGCAGUUAUGUAAUCAUAAGCUGGGAUAAAGGUAACCUGAUCAACUACAUUUAUCUGAGAUGCGAUGAAUGUGUGCUCGGGAGUGAUAGUGGUGUACGACAGGUCUGAAACUUACCAACUAGGAAUGCUAGAGCCAAACAUAAAGUUAAAAAUACUAUAGGAGUAUUUUAGAACGCUAAAAGAUCCACACUAAUUCCAGAAUCAUAUUCAGAAGAUAAGAAUCAAACAAGAAUUAAAAUACCAUAGGGGUAUUUUAGAAUACAUAAACAACCUUGCGUGAAUAACUAAAAAGAUCCUUAUUGAUAUACCUACAACUACAGAGGGUAUACUCCCAAGGUUAUAUAUAAUAAGGAUCCCAUAGGCUAAGAAUGUGUGGUUUCGCUCUAUUUCCUUUUCCUCGUUGGGAUGUGGUUCUAGAGUAGUAUCACAUAUUCGAAGGCCUAUCGGAUCCAAGCUAUAUAUGAUUUGUAUACCCUGUGUAAUCGUAGCAGGACUCGAUAUGGAUCAUACAGUGAAAUGUUAAUAAUCUCUUAGGAUUCUUUAGACAUAUCCAUUCUCGUGCGAACCCUGUAGAAAACCCUAUCCACUUCAGUGCUUGAAAGAAGAGUUGAUUCCAACCCCGAAGAGGUUCAUGGAGAAGAUUUCCUGUUCGGAAAUAAAUGAACUGGGUCGAGACUAUUGAAUGCACCAAGUGUCCAUAUUCUUUUAAGGACAGUGGUGAGAGAUUCGCCUAAAUUUCCGAGAUUCUAGUCACCCAUCAUGAAGUGGUGACACCCAGAGUUGGAAUCAGAAGGAAGGCGGAGUAGAAAUUCAAUAUGUCCAUUCGAGAAGAGAACCCUAGGAAACUACCCGAAGGAAACCAACGCCGAUUCCAGUCAAAGAUAACGAGGCAGACAGCGGGAGCCAGUACAUGAAACCCGAGAAUUGUCUUCUCCUCGUAUUCGUCACGAUAAUUCACCCUUAAAAUAAUACAAUUUAGUGAGUUAGUGGUUACACUACUCACCCUAUGUGUUAGGUAAAUCGUCGUUUCCCGUUGCCAGAUACACGAUUAGGGCGGAUCCCCGCAUCUCUAUUGAGAGAAUUUUAGCCAUCUGCCCUUAUGAGCCUCUCUUUCCGCAGUUUCGUUCUGAACUAUUCUCAAUUCUCUCCAGGCCGGAGAGUGAAACCUUCUCCAGUAUAAAGGUAACUUAGUAGGAACGACUCGCAUCUUAUGGCCUUUUCCGAUACUCAUACACUCACUUCGAUUACCAGGACUACAUCAUAGGGAUGUAGGUCGACACCCAGGCAACCGACAUCUGAGGCACGGGAAAAUUUAUGCCUAAUACGUUAAGGACAAAAAUGUCCAGGGUUAACCAUCGUCUCUCAUUACCUUGUAUUCCUUUCCGUGUAGGAAAACCAUGCCACCGAAGAAGCGUAACCAAUCCACAAGCAAGAAACCUACACUCUUAUUCGAUGAAGCUACGUUCCAAGCUGCAGUCUCAGCAGCCGUAGAAACUGUCAUGGCUCACCUGAAUGCUAACACCGCAAAUGUUAGCAAGGGCCCUGUCGGGAAUUCCGAUCCUGGCAAUGGACAGCAACAACCAACACUUUCAUACCCAGUCAUCCAAGAACCUCCACUGAACCCACUAAAGAGAAAACUCAAGAUAGAGGAAGGAAGUACCUCGGCUUAAGGACCUUCCGAAGGGAAAUGAGCUGAGGCGGUCUAUACCCCUGUCAUUCCUUCCCUCCCGACCUCAAGAAGACCGUACCUAGGAGACCUUCCNNNNNNNNNNNNNNNNNNNNNNNNNNNNNNNNNNNNNNNNNNNNNNNNNNNNNNNNNNNNNNNNNNNNNNNNNNNNNNNNNNNNNNNNNNNNNNNNNNNNAACUUGGAAAAAUCUUAACUUCAAUAUACGAAGUCGGAUUUGGGGAUUCUUUUUACGUACGAUCCCAGUUUAAUGAUAUUAAAUAUAGUAGGAAUUUAAAUAGAUACUUUUUGGGCAUUUUAUUAUCAAAGUUAAUUUUAUUAACUCCAAGGUGGUUACAAUACUUGACUUUUUAGGUCAUUACAAAG